rnacentral:tRNA from 1 species
GCUAUUUUGGCAGAUAAGUGUAAUGGUUUUAGAAGUCAUAUAUAUAUAUAUUAUAAAUAUAUAGAUAGUA